rnacentral:rRNA from 1 species
GGAAGGAAUCAGGGACUAGCUGAGCCGUAUUAUGGUGAAGCCGCGAAUGGCUCAUUACAACAGCCGUUGUUUCUUGGAUCUUUAUUUACUUGGAUAACUGUGGUAAUUCUAGAGCUAACACAUGCAACCAAGCUCCGACCUUGCGGAAGGAGCGCAUUUAUUAGACCAAGACCAAUCGGGCUCUGCCUGAAUUUUGGUGACUCUGAAUAACUUUGCUGAUCACACGGUCUAGCACUGGUGACAUAUCUUUCAAGUGUCUGCCCUAUCAACUUUCGAUGGUAGUUUAUGUGCCUACCAUGGUUGCAACGGGUAACGGGGAAUGGGGCGGGGGCGGCGGGCCGGGCGCGGGGCGCGGCGGGCGA